CAAUAGCGUAUAUUAAAGUUGUUGCAGUUAAAAGCUCGUAGUUGAACUUCUGUGUACACUCAGUUCUGGCCUUGGUCAAGCUGUUUCGUGCACAUCCGCUUGCAAACCCGGACCGGCCUUUACUGUCCGACCGGGGGAGUAAGCCCUUUACUUUGAAAAAAUUAGAGUGUUUCAGGCAGGCAAUGGCUCGAAUACAUUAGCAUGGAAUAAUGGAAUAGGACUUUUGUCCAUUUGGUUGGUUAUUGGACAUGAGUAAUGAUUAACAGGGACAGUUGGGGGCAUUAGUAUUUAAUUGUCAGAGGUGAAAUUCUUGGAUUUAUUAAAGACUAACUUAUGCGAAAGCAUUUGCCAAGGAUGUUUUCAUUAAUCAAGAACGAAAGUUAGGGGAUCAAAGACGAUCAGAUACC
rnacentral:rRNA from 1 species